rnacentral:rRNA from 1 species
AGAGUUUGAUCCUGGCUCAGGACGAACGCUAGCGGCGUGCCUAAGGUAUGCAAGUCGAACGGGGAAGCAAUUCCUAGUGGCGAACGGUCGAGUAACACGUAGACAACCUGCCUCCCAGCGGGGGAUACCCGCGGGAAACCGCGGCUAAUACCGCAUGCGAUCCGGAAGGGCAGCCUUCCUGGAUGAAAGGAGCUUGCUUCACUGGGAGAUGGGUCUGCGGCCUAUCAGCUCGUUGGCGGGGUAACGGCCCACCAAGGCGACGACGGGUAGCUGGUCUGAGAGGAUGAUCAGCCGGACGGGGACUGAGACACGGCCCCGACUCCUUCGGGAGGCAGCAAUGAGGAAUCUUGCGCAAUGGGGGCAACCCUGACGCAGCGACGCCGCGUGGGUGAGGAAGUCCUUCGGGAUGUAAAGCCCUUUUCUGGGGGACGAGAACGGACGGUACCCCAGGAAGAAGCCCCGGCUAACUACGUGCCAGCAGCCGCGGUAAUACGUAGGGGGCAAGCGUUGUCCGGAUUUACUGGGCGUAAAGAGCGCGUAGGCGGAACGUUAAGCGGGGCCGGAAAGCCCCCGGCUCAACCGGGGAAGGGGCCGCGAACUGGCGUUCUUGAGGGGGAGAGGGGAGAGCGGAAUUCCUGGUGUAGCGGUGAAAUGCGUAGAGAUCAGGAGGAACACCCAUGGCGAAGGCAGCUCUCUGGCUUCACCCUGACGCUGAGGCGCGAAAGCGUGGGGAGCGAACGGGAUUAGAUACCCCUGUAGUCC